GACCUCUUCAAGCCUCGCUUGGUGUUGGGCGCUUGUCCUGCUUUUGUAGUGUGGACUCGCCUUAAAAGCAUUGGCGGCCGUUACUUUGGCUUUGAGCGCAGCACAAUUGCGCUUGGUUCCUCGGUAGCAGCUCCCAAAAGCACACCUUUCUC
rnacentral:misc_RNA from 1 species